AGAUUGAACGCUGGCGGCAGGCCUAACACAUGCAAGUCGAGCGGUAGAGAGGUGCUUGCACCUCUUGAGAGCGGCGGACGGAUGAGUAAAGCCUAGGAAUCUGCCUGGUAGUGGGGGAUAACGCUCGGAAACGGACGCUAAUACCGCAUACGUCCUACGGGAGAAAGCAGGGGACCUUCGGGCCUUGCGCUAUCAGAUGAGCCUAGGUCGGAUUAGCUAGUUGGUGAGGUAAUGGCUCACCAAGGCGACGAUCCGUAACUGGUCUGAGAGGAUGAUCAGUCACACUGGAACUGAGACACCGGUCCAGACUCCGUACGGGAGGCAGCGAGGUGGGGAAUUAGUUGGAACAAGUGGGACGAAAGCCUGAUCCAGCAAUCGCGCGGUGAGUGAGUGAAGGUCCGUUAGGUAGUAACGUCUACCGUUUACCCGAGAU
rnacentral:rRNA from 1 species